rnacentral:rRNA from 1 species
UACGGGAGGCAGCAGUGGGGAAUAUUGCACAAUGGGCGCAAGCCUGAUGCAGCCAUGCCGCGUGUAUGAAAAAGGCCUUCGGGUUGUAAAGUACUUUCAGUCGUGAGGAAGGUGUUAAGGUUAAUAACCUUAGCAAUUGACGUUAGCGACAGAAGAAGCACCGGCUAACUCCGUGCCAGCAGCCGCGGUAAUACGGAGGGUGCGAGCGUUAAUCGGAAUUACUGGGCGUAAAGGGCACGCAGGCGGUUAAUUAAGUUGGAUGUGAAAUCCCCGGGCUUAACCUGGGAAUGGCAUUCAAGACUGGUUAGCUAGAGUCUUGUAGAGGGGGGUAGAAUUCCAUGUGUAGCGGUGAAAUGCGUAGAGAUGUGGAGGAAUACCGGUGGCGAAGGCGGCCCCUGGGACAAAGACUGACGCUCAUGUGCGAAAGCGUGGGGAGCAAACAGGGAUUAGAUA